rnacentral:rRNA from 1 species
CAGCGCCGCGGUAAUACGUAGGGUGCGAGCGUUAAUCGGAAUUGCUGGGCGUAAAGCGUGCGCAGGCGGUUUUGUAAGACAGGCGUGAAAUCCCCGGGCUCAACCUGGGAAUGGCGCUUGUGACUGCAAAGCUAGAGUGCGGCAGAGGGGGAUGGAAUUCCGCGUGUAGCAGUGAAAUGCGUAGAUAUGCGGAGGAACACCGAUGGCGAAGGCAAUCCCCUGGGCCUGCACUGACGCUCAUGCACGAAAGCGUGGGGAGCAAACAGGAUUAGAUACCCCGGUAGUCCCUGUCUCUUAUACA